rnacentral:rRNA from 1 species
AUUGAACGCUGGCGGCAUGCCUUACACAUGCAAGUAGAACGGUAACAGGUCUUCGGAUGCUGACGAGUGGCGAACGGGUGAGUAAUGCAUCGGAACGUGCCCAGUUGUGGGGGAUAACUGCUCGAAAGAGCAGCUAAUACCUCAUACGACCUGAGGGUGAAAGGGGGGGAUCGCAAGACCCCGCGCAAUUGGAGCGGCCGAAGUCAGAUUAGGUAGUUGGGGGGGUAAAGGACUACCAAGCCGACGAUCUGUAGUUGGUCUGAGAGGACGACCAGCCACACUGGGACUGAGACACGGCCCAGACUCCUGCGGGAGGCAGCAGUGGGGAAUUUUGGACAAUGGGCGCAAGCCUGAGCCAGCAAUGCCGCGUGCAGGAAGAAGGCCUUCGGGUUGUAAACUGCUUUUGUCAGGGAAGAAAUCCUCUGGGUUAAUACCCCGGGGGGAUGACGGUACCUGAAGAAUAAGCACCGGCUAACUACGUGCCAGCAGCCGCAGUAA